UACGUAGGGUGCGAGCGUUAAUCGGAAUUACUGGGCGUAAAGCGUGCGCAGGCGGUUUUGUAAGCCAGAUGUGAAAUCCCCGGGCUUAACCUGGGAACUGCACUUGAAACUACGAUGCUGGAGUAUGGCAGAGGGAGGUGGAAUUCCACGUGUAGCGGUGAAAUGCGUAGAGAUGUGGAGGAACACCGAUGGCGAAGGCAGCCUCCUGGGCCAAUACUGACGCUCAUGCACGAAAGCGUGGGGAGCAAACAGG
rnacentral:rRNA from 1 species